AUCGCUUCUUAGCCUUUUGGCUAAGAUCAAGUGUAGUAUCUGUUCUUAUCAGUCUAAUAUCUGAUAUGUCUUCUAUGUGAGGACAGCAUAUUAAAUUGACUUUUGGAAUAGGGAGGUAGAAAAGGGGCUUAAUUGAA
rnacentral:snRNA from 1 species